UAUGCUUUUACUAUUUCUACAUACAAGGGUGAAUAUGCUUUUACUAAUUCUCUGUAGUUUUUGCAAGGUGAUCGGUUUUUUAGACAUCGAAGCUCUUGCUUUGGAAGGUUGUCACCAUCCCAACCUGGAUUUGAGGCUUAACUCCUUGCCCUCAAGUGCAACAAGCUCACCAGCCUAUAUCUCACUUGCACUAUUGUUUGAGAUAAGCCAAUAACCAUUGGCCUCGAGUGGUGAUCGAAGGAUUUAAUUUGAGAAGCUUUUAUGCUACAACUGCUGUCACUUUAUUUCAUUUCAACAGAAGUUUAGUUUACACCAGUUUAAGACUGAGCUAUUGUCAGGUAACCAGCAUGUAUGUGGGUUUCAAAAAUUAGUUGAAGCAUGGAAAGGUAUAAUUAUUAAUGAAUUUGGUCCAUGGAAUCACACACCGAUUUGAUGACCAUACUGGUGAUUUGGCUUUUCCUCUAGCUAGAAAUUACAGAUACUUGGCCAGUGCAAGGAAUAUUAAGACUAAAGUUGCUUGUAGCCAAGAAAAUAGUAUUUUCUAGGUCUAAGUUAUUUCCCUGUUUUUGGUAGCAUGUUUGAAUUACAGAAUUAUGUUCUUUCUGUCGACAUAUACACCUCUGAAAAUCAUAAAUUAGAACAA